rnacentral:rRNA from 1 species
AUUGAACGCUGGCGGCAGGCCUAACACAUGCAAUUCGAGCGGGGGGGCGGACGGGUGAGUAAGGCCAAGGAAUCUGCCUGGUAGUGGGGGAUAACGUCGGGAAACGGGCGCUAAUACGGCAUACUAUCAGAUGAGCCUAGGUCGGAUUAGCUAGUUGGUGGGGUAAAGGCCUACCAAGACGACGAUCCGUAACUGGUCUGAGAGGAUGAUCAGUCCAACUGGAACUGAGACACGGCCCAGACUCCUACGGGAGGCAGCAGUGGGGAAUAUUGGACAAUGGGCGAAAGCCUGAUCCAGCCAUGCCGCGUGUGUGAAGAAGGUCUUCGGAUUGUAAAGCACGUUAAGUUGGGAGGCGUUACCAACAGAAUAAGCACCGGCUAACUUCGUGCCAGCAGCCGCGGUAAUAC